rnacentral:lncRNA from 1 species
UACUCAUAUGAACAUCAAUAAUCUAAAUUCAACACACAAUUACACCGAAUUUCACCAUUAACACAAUAAAAUCUGAAUCACAUAUACAACAUAAUCAUAGAGAUUUUACACAAAUAUCACGUGAUUCAAGGAUAACAAACCAUAAAGGAAAAUGGGUUAAGGGAACCCACAUUAUCCCAAAUCUUAAACACCAAAUAUAAA